rnacentral:rRNA from 1 species
UAGCCGUAAACGAUACUCGCUAGGUGUCGGCCACGGUGCGACCGUUGUCGGUGCCGUAGGGAAGCCGUGAAGCGAGCCACCUGGGAAGUACGGCCGCAAGGCUGAAACUUAAAGGAAUUGGCGGGGGAGCACAACAACGGGUGGAGCUUGCGGUUUAAUUGGAUUUCAACGCCGGAAAUCUUACCGGGACCGACAGCAACAUGAAGGCCAAGCUGAAGACUUUGCCGGAUUAGCUGAGAGGUGGUGCAUGGCGUAGUCGUGU